rnacentral:rRNA from 1 species
CCAAGAAGUCUAUCUUGCGCGCAAGCCAAUGGGUAAAUGGUGCGGUACGCCGCCCUUGACUGGAAACCCACAGGCGAAGACAACUCGAGUGUUACGGGAUUACGGGUUCGGCCGAUGGCGCAAGCCUUCGUCGGGCCCCUCCAUCCCAGGGUGUCCCGGUCCAUGGGUGCUUGCACCCAGUGGGCAUCCCCGGAGUGCGUAGGAUGUGACCCGAAAGAUGGUGAACUAUGCCUGAUCAGGUUGAAGUCAGGGGAAACCCUGAUGGAGGACCGAAGCAAUUCUGACGUGCAAAUCGAUUGUCAGAGUUGGGCAUAGGGGCGAAAGACCAAUCGAACCAUC